CCGCUAAUAGCUCAACGGACAGAGCAUUAGCUUGCGGAGCUAAAGGUUGCAAGUUCGAUUCUUGCUUAGCGGG